ACAGGUCUAUAGUAAAACAACUGUUUACAUAUUACUAACAAAAUGAAAAAUAUAGUAAUAAUUUUAACUUUGUGCCUAACAGUGCAGUUGGUCAACACUGAUCCAACAUUCUUUAGUGGGCUAAGUAUGAUAUUUGAUAGAGUGAAAUAUGGCAUUAGUAAAUUAGUGAGUGACGUAAGAUAUGAUUUGGAGAAUGUUUUCAACUGCACCAUUAAAGCUGUGAAUGUUUUGAUACAUGCUAGCAAGAAUUAAAAAUAAUUUAUAAU